UACGUAGGGGGCUAGCGUUGUCCGGAAUCAUUGGGCGUAAAGCGCGCGUAGGCGGCCUCAUAAGUCCGCUGUAAAAGUCAAAGGCUCAACCUUUGAAUGCCGGUGGAUACUGUGAGGCUAGAGUCCGGAAGAGGCGAGUGGAACUCCUGGUGUAGCGGUGGAAUGCGCAGAUAUCAGGAAGAACACCAACGGCGAAGGCAGCUCGCUGGGACGGUACUGACGCUGAGGCGCGAAAGCGUGGGGAGCAAACAGG
rnacentral:rRNA from 1 species